AGACACAAGAUGGGAAGAUGGGGGAAGCGAAGGAUGAAGAGCUAGGGCAGAGCCUGAGUUGUGAGGAGGGAGCCAAAAUCUGCCCCCAGGACUGUCUGAGUCCACACAGGCUGCUCGGCUCAUGGUGCAGGUGUGUGGGAGCCCUCCUCCACAUGGUCUCCACAGCAACCCGCCACUCUAAUCUGCUGAAUAUGAAAAGAAGAAACAGAAAGAGAAAAGCCAUCCACCCCCUUCUGCUCCAUCCAUGAGUCCAAAAGAAGGAUAUCGUCUCCAGGCAUUCCUGAUAAUACCCCAGCCAUUGCCCUGGCAACAGUCACAGGGAGCCGGCAUGGCCUGUGGAGAAAGCAGUCCCUGUCUCUAGCUCAGGCGCCUUCCUCCUCCUCCUCUUCUCCCACCACGGAUCUCCUAAUAGCCCCUAACAAUUGUGCACCCCACUUUUGGCCCACUGCCUCAUGCCCUCCAGCCUGCCAGCGGACCACUGACACAGAGAAUACAGAAAUCCACAUACUUUUCUCCUAAUGGUACUGAAAUGAUACUUGCAGGCAUGCAUACAGGCUUCUAAGUGUGUAUAGAUGAGAUUGUGUGUGUGUGUGUCUGUGUGUCUGUGCCUGUGUAUAGAUUUGAAAGACUCUUCACCUCUAGCUCCCCUGCAGAUGAACUGUGUUUACACGCUGAAUGAAGAAGUAGAGACUACUUCUUAUCAAAGCUAAGAGUUUGGAAAAGCCACCGCUUACAACUCCCAUUCUCUCAGCUGAGCUGGCUGAGGAGGUUUGCAGAGCCCUUUGCUCUGAGCCUCAUACCCAGCAGUGAAAGCUCUCAUUUGUCUUAAGGCCAUCAUGUUGAUGCAGCUGGCUUUGACACUGCUUACCUCAGCAUUUUUUUUUUCGGUUGAAAGACAGAAGGCUUCCUUGUGAUCCCAGCCUUUUCCUAUCAAAUGACACUCAGCCUGGGUUUGGGUGACUUAUUUACUGGCACUAGACCAGUAAAAACAAAAAUGAACGUUCGCAACUAAUAAAUCCUCGUGCUUAGAUAGCUAGAGCCACAGUGGUGGGAUUACACCAGAAUGCUCGGCCGUUACUGGAGGGCUCCCAGGCUGUGCGGAGCCUAAUAAGUCAGAGGAGGAAAGGGGACCAAAUCAAGGAGCAGAGAAAUUACGUGCAGCGUGGGUUUUGGACAAUGAAAACCUUUUAUCUUCACUCUACGACGUGUUUUCCGGGUGGGAGAUUCUAGAGGCAGGGUGCACUGUGUUUGCAUCAUCACGGUGAGCCUGCUGAGCUUGCCACCUUGACCUUCCUUUUUGAAAAUCAAACCACACCCAUCUUCAGUAAGAUGAAAAAAGACAGCUAAGAUUCUGGACAGCGCAAUCACAGCUUUUCAGAGAACUGAAAGGAGCUAUUUUUAUAGAGGGCACGAGGUCAAGAAUGUUUAGCAAACAAAUUGAAUGUCAUCUACUCGCAGAGAAUUCUCCAAGGACCUUCCUUCUCCCAGGCCCUUGUGGAAAGUGAGGGCACCUCUGAGAGGCGGGUGCAAUGAUGUUUUUCCUUGUUUCAGAAUUGAUCUUUGGUAUAGAAGAACAUUUUUAUGUUAAUAUAAAUCCAAAAGAAUCCCACUAUAAAAUAUCGACACAGCCAAAGCUUUCCUUCUUCCACGACUACUUCUAAGUCUCUGAGCAUCCACACUUCCUUUAAGGUUAGGUCUGCUGGGGCAGCUACCAUUGUGUCACAGUGGAAAACUUCCUCAUAGGAUUUAACCUGAUGGAACUAAAUAGAGAUUAAAAAGCAGAGAAUUUUUUUAAAGUAUAAGUCUAAUGGCCUUUGUACAUGCUAAUGGGCAUUUGACUAUUUGGAAAGAUGAUUGACAGCCAUUGAUUUCUCUCUUCCUUUUUAAUUUUGGCUUCAUGACUGAGAGACUACCACAAAGGAUAUUUACUGGUGACAUAUUAGAACACAGCCACCCAGCGGUUCGACUUGUUUGUAUAAUUCCUUUAAUCUAUGUUGUUGCCACUGUCAUCCUGUUUAGCUGUGAUGUCCCCUCAGUACAAAGAAGAUACCUACAAUGAGUGGAUAAUGGGAGCUAUGCUCUCUCAAAGCACCCAAUGAAAGAACAUAUUACAAGUCUUUCAGAGCUCUGCGAAAUUAUUGCAUCUGAUGGCUUUGACAGUGCCAUCCUUAAAGGUAAAACCAGAUGAAUCAAAUGUGCAUAGACUAGUUCAGUCGUCUCAUUAGGAAGCUUUUAGAAUGCUUGCUGUCCACCAAUGACGCAGCCGCUUUAAAUGCUUUCAUAAGUCUUCAGGGUUGAAAUGUAAUGUCUCUGUGAUGGAACAUAGUUAGACACUCCUCCCCCUCCAUGGAGAAAGAGAGAGAGAGAGAGAGAGAGAGAGAGAGGAUGGGAAUGAAAUAUGUAUACUCUCUACUCAUUGUCUCUAAGGAUAAUCAAAUACUAUGUAUGUGUGCAGUGUGUGAAUGUAUGUACAUGUUUAUGUAUGGGUGGUACAUGCAUAUGAAUAUUCACAUCCAUGUGUAUGCAUGCAGAGUCUGGAGAAGGGUGUAAUGCAUUUUCCUUGGCCUGAGACUGGGUCUCUCACUGGAUAGAAAGUGUGCCAUUUUUAGUAGGCUUUUACCCGGGACCUGGAUUUAUCUCGGAUCCUUGUGUUUAUAAAGCAUGUACUCUUAACUACUGAGCUAUCUCCCCAGUCCCAAGGAUCAAUUAUCUUCUGAUUAUUUAAAUACUUAGAAAAUGAGCUAUCAUGAAUUCAAAUAAUCUUUAAAUCUUGUG
ensembl:lincRNA Gm11412 predicted gene 11412